AAUAGUGUCAUCGUGCGAAAAUAAAAAAAAAAAAAUAGACAUACUUCCCUAAACACAACUAGUUCAAGUCGACAAAUUCGUUAAGCAGGAAAAUUCGUGUGUUAGAAUGUUUCAACGUCUUUUUAUGGGAACUGGUUGUUUACGAUAAAAGCUGUUUUCAGGCCAGUCUUACCUUCAAGAUAGAAAAGCGCAUAAUCAGCUAGCACGUCGAACUGAACUGCAGCAGCCAGUGGAAACAGUUCUAAUUCGUUAACUCAUCGAAAAUGCUUACCGUCAUAGCCGUAAGUAGGCAUAGACACCUGCAUUGAGAUUUAGAACCAGGAAGCAGGCUCACCUAAACUUUUAGCUCAGCGCGUAUUCAGCCUGACCUUGUUAUUGUGGACAAGUCUCACAAAAUGUAGGGCCAUCAAGAAAAGUCUCGUGAGACGUUGAGCCAAAACGCGGAGAUUGAGAGAAGCAAGAGGCAGAGCAAGGGAUAAGGAGCCAGAAGAUCUAGGCAAUACCGAGUAAAAAAAAUUGUAUAGUAAGGGAACGGGGCCUUAGCAAUGCUAAGUAUAGGGUAGAGCAGCUGUAUUCCCUUAGUCAUGGCCGUUGCCGUGCUGGCGGUAGUAUCGAGUGGAGACCUCAAGAGCCUCGAGGGUACCGCCAAGAGAGAGAACUCAUUUGUGCGUGUCUCCCAGCUUUUUUUUUUCUCGUCGUUUCUUUUCCCCUGCUCUCCUUUCUUCCUCUUGCUCUCCACUCGUUGAACUGAAAGGAACGCCUAAGGGAAGUGGGAAGUGCAACCAAGGCGAUCCAAUCGGCGGAAAAAGAGGGAACAGGAUGAACGGGGUGCGUUGGGCUACUUGCUUGUCUCUUUUGCCGGUCGGCUCUAGCCCCACGUUAGUUGAGCCGCGCUACCGUGGCUCGGCCCGUUGAACGCCAAGAGGACGACUCUAUGUCGACCGGCUGCGGCGACCGCGGUACCGAUGUCCCGCUACGCCCAAGGGAGUGGUUCGUUUCGUCGUGGGCAUUACUCGAGAAAACCUAAAAGGUACAACGACGGCAGAGUCGGCGGCUGGUAGGAGCAGCUGCAGCAGCAACGUAAGUGGUACCUCCCACUUCUCUAGCUGUCUCCGCUGUGCUUAGGCCGAGCACAAGCACUGCCUCAUGUAAGGCAUGCUAGGUAGCCAAGUCCAGUGUUGUGACUACUGCUGAUGCUAUAGCUGCUAGCAGUGUGUUCCUUUCACGAACCCUCUCUAAGGGCCUACGAAGACAUAGUAGAGGUUGUAAAUUGUAAAAGGAGUACCUUCGUGUGAGGCUGUAGCAUUGUAGUUUGUUGGUGGCUAGAGUUUGACCCCAUAGGGCUUCAGUGGCUUAGAUCUACUCAUGGUCAUUUAAAGAAUGGUUUGCUGGACCAGGCGGAUGAGUCGACAUCGGUCCGGCACCAGCAGCAGAAUAAAAACAGCGUAGUUGGUCGUGGUGAACAUGGCCGUCGUUGCCGCCACUCGAACUGGCCAGCGGCCGCGGGCACUGUCCUGGCGAGGCGCUGGCGUCGACAAGGGCACGAAAUCCAGAGGCGGAUCACCGGAAUGGGCUGAAGGGUCGACAAGGGCUUAAAUGGCUAAAAGCACAAGAAGAAACAAAAGAGCACUUCAGUGGUACACGAGAGGAGCAAGCUAUAUUAAAGAAACCAAUAGCUGACGCACUCGUGGCGUGUCGGAGCUGAGAAAAAUUGCGUCCCUCGAUAUUAGCCCUGCAUGGAGACGGGUCCGAGGCCGUACAAGCUCUUACAAGAUUACCCAAGCGUUUCCGCAGAAUCAUUUCUAAAUGUGACCAAAAGACGGAAGAAUCGAUCAAUAAUGACAGCGAAACACCUGCUCGUGGGGUCAAAAUUCCGAAACUUCUUAUACAAAGGACAUCUAAGUAGAGGGUAACUGUGUAUUUAUUCACAGUAUUGCAGGUUGCUAGCCUGAACUUAUGCAGCACUUUUCCCCGCAUAUUUGCCUUUUUUUUCGAGUCAUUCGUCGCUUUCCAUCUGCGGUUUUAAACAUUGUCCUUUUUUACCGUUUUUAGCCAUUCUGAUGGAGAUUGGCGCUUGAAGAACUAUUCAACGCCAUUACGGAAGACGGAUCAGCAGUGAAGCUGGUAUAUGAUUUUUGGUAGGUUUUGAAUUUCAGGCACAAUAGAGAAAGAUUUUAGUGAAAUACAUCACCUUAGGCAGUUCGAAAAACCCAUCGCAUUUAUAGGAGGCAAGUAUCAGAGGCCUUAAACAGCCCAAUAUCAAGAAGACCCAAGUGCACCUUUUACUAAAGGCCCCACAUUUAAGAAAAUAUCAUUAAACAAGGUUGGUAUUGAUAACGCUUUCGUGCCAAUUGUAUUUCGGUAUUCUAGCAGACGAAAGAACGUUGUUUUGAGUCAUUGCUAACCUUAAUCAUUUUCUUGUAGGUAUUAGUAUUAAACGAUGAAAUAGUAAAAAACGACAAAGUUGCCGGGCCCACCAGGCCGCGAUAUCACGGACAACUCAAACCAAGCUUGAUGCUAGUUAGGUAAUGAGGCGUACUACUAUACAAAUAUCAACGUUAAUAUUAGCAGGCAACAAUGACUGGUUGGUCAGGCGUCCACAGAGGGCCCGUCGAAUACGUUAGUCUGACAUAAUAAUCACGUUCUAACGACUACCACGCCCGACAAGAUUACCCUUUACUAAUAUCUCUGCUGACCGAGUGGAAUAAUGCGCUCUGUUCUCAAAAGGCAUUAGUGUUACACAUAGGAGUCACAUUUAUUAAAUGAUUACGAUCGAGAUUCAGGAUUGGAUCACAAGAGAAAAUUAAGUAUGUCGGAAGUAAAUCGCUAUACGACCUUCGAAGGUGUCAGCGGUCAAACGAAGGAAAUUUUGCGAUUAAACUAUUUUCAGAUGCCACAAAUUUCAGACACGAUGUUAUCAGCCUGUACUUCGUUUAUAUUACAAUUAUUUCCGUAUAUUUACUCUUUAUUGCUAGCUUAUUACAUGGCCAUAUUAAAUCACCCAAAAAAUGUCCUUACCCACUUAGCAUGGCAUUACAUGAAGGCAUAAAAUACGAUUUGUCGAAUGUGCGCAUGCCCCUAUGGUCGCAUAUAACAUAUAUAUUGAAAUAAAUGAUUAUACAUUUCUGUGUAUAUUUAUCACCA